AGAGAGGCAUGCGGAGAAAACAUAUACACCAAACACUUCUCUAGCGAUUGUGAGUUCUUUGGUGUGUGAGGGGAAAGAAAGAAUUUGCUUUCAACUAUAAGAGGCCAGAACUUGUCAAAAAGAAAAAAUUCACCGAGUUCAAAUUUGGGAUGAUAUGAACCUGGAUAUUCCACUAGAGAGCUUUUCAAGUGUUGCUGAGAACAGCAUAAAUUCAAGAUUCUGGCUGUAAGCAGGAAGAAUUGUGUGCAACAUACAAUAACCUGGAGAAGUGAAUUGGGAUGGAGAGAGAAAAUGGAGAGGUAGGUGUGAGUAUUGGAUGACUGAAGUUAGCAGGGCUAGUGGAGAGGGAGGCCAGGAGGAGGCAUCACUUCCAGAACAGCUAAUACGAACCUUCAGAAUUACUGUAACAUAGUGAGUGGGGAGAUGAUGAUGUGUUAAAAAUUUGAAACUUUUUUGUUUAUAUUGUGCAUUUCUUACCAUGUAAAGCUUCUCUGUCUGUUGAUCUCUGCAAACUGCGUAUCUAAAAUCUCAACAGUGGAUGUGCAUUUGGAUUUCAAGUUUUAGGUGUGUGAAAAGGAAAGAAACAGGGACAAACAACAUUGUUAUCUAUGGGCAGUUUAUUUCCACAAAACACAUUCUUUGAGGAUACCAGAUGCUCAUCACAAACAGUGACUUGAAAUACAUACACUGUAAUAAUAUACUGUCUUGUUACAUACAUGUGCACAGUUAACAUGUUGACAGCCACACACUUUGUGAUGGCUGAUUCACUGCCAAGCCAGACACACAGCAUUAGACUCCGCUAUUUCAGCAGAUGGCCCCUUGGCCUUUGGUCGAGAUGUGGCCACCAGCAGCUAUAAAGCAGUCAGUGUGUUAAGAUUUAGUAGAUUAAUCACCCACCAUUGUCAUCACAUGAACACAAGUCUGACAAUACCCCUGUACUGCACAUUACGCAUAGGCUUUCAGCAUUAACAUACUCCUUGCUCUCACGUAUUCACAGUUUGGGUCACUGCUCCGGACUAAUGUCCUCUAAUCUCGCCCUUUGGAUGAGAUCUCUCAUUUCAUAGUUUUUAUUGGUUGAAGAGAAAAUGUGACAAUAAUUAAGGUGACAAAAGAAAAAAAAAUUAUAGAGUUAACCUUCCCGUAUUUUAGAACCAUUUAACUCAUGUAUCCAAAGUUUUGUAUCCUUGUGUUUUACAGGAAAAAAUCAAGGCACUACUUGUUCGUACUUUACUGAUACUGUAUCUUUCAUAUUCAAUAAAAUUCCCCAACUUCUAGAAGACCCGCCAUCUAAUGUAUU